ACUUAUUUCAACGUCCAUUAACUCCGUCUGUUGUAGAAAAAGGAAAACUAUUCGAAAAGAAAAAAAACUCUUGGAGAAUGUGUGGUCAAACGUGUCGUGAGGCGAGCAGUGGAAUGGAACCCCGAGGAUGAAGGGACAGAGAGAGCGGCAAGGGAAGGCACAGUAACAUAUGAAGCCACGGCUCUUGGAACUCUGAGUGCAUUUAACUCAAGCUAUCAGUGAAGUCUGCCAUGAAAAAUGACUGUAAUAGAAAUCAUUUAAAAUGGGGGGUAAAAAAAACAGAUGUAUCUCAUUGUAUUUUGAAACAUGUUUUAAUGUGUA